GUUGAACGCUGGCGGCAGGCUUAACACAUGCAAGUCGAGCGGAGAUGAGGUGCUUGCACCUUAUCUUAGCGGCGGACGGAUGAGUAAUGCUUAGGAAUCUGCCUAUUAGUGGGGGACAACAUUCCGAAAGGAAUGCUAAUACCGCAUACGCCCUACGGGGGAAAGCAGGGGAUCUUCGGACCUUGCGCUAAUAGAUGAGCCUAAGUCGGAUUAGCUAGUUGGUGGGGUAAAGGCCUACCAAGGCGACGAUCUGUAGCGGGUCUGAGAGGAUGAUCCGCCACACGGGGACUGAGACACGGCCCAGACUCCUACGGGAGGCAGCAGUGGGGAAUAUUGGACAAUGGGCGGAAGCCUGAUCCAGCCAUGCCGCGUGUGUGAAGAAGGCCUUUUGGUUGUAAAGCACUUUAAGCGAGGAGGAGGCUACCUGGAUUAAUACUCUAGGAUAGUGGACGUUACUCGCAGAAUAAGCACCGGCUAACUCUGUGCCAGCAGCCGCCGCCGUA
rnacentral:rRNA from 1 species